UAACAGGAAAUUUAAGGGCGUACGGUGGAUGCCUUGACACAAAAUGGCGAUGAAGGACGUGGCGUUGCUGCGAUAAGCUUCGGGGAGGUGCUAAGCAACCU
rfam:Candidatus Nomurabacteria bacterium RIFCSPLOWO2_01_FTLL_46_18 rifcsplowo2_01_scaffold_7698, whole genome shotgun sequence.